GCGAGAGCAAGCGGACCUCAUAAAGUGCGUCGUAGUCCGGAUUGGAGUCUGCAACUCGACUCCAUGAAGUCGGAAUCGCUAGUAAUCGUGGAUCAGAAUGCCACGGUGAAUACGUUCCCGGGCCUUGUACACACCGCCCGUCACACCAUGGGAGUGGGUUGCAAAAGAAGUAGGUAGCUUAACCUUCGGGAGGGCGCUUACCACUUUGUGAUUCAUGACUGGGGUGAAGUCGUAACAAGGUAACCGUAGGGGAACCUGCGGUUGGAUCACCUCCUUACCUUAAAGAAGC
rnacentral:rRNA from 2 species